AGAAUCAACGCUGGCGGCGUGCCUAACACAUGCAAGUCGAACGCGGUUACCCCGCAAGGGGUAACUGAGUGGCAAACGGGUGAGUAACGCGUGGGUGACCUACCUUCGAGUGGGGGAUAACGUUUCGAAAGGAACGCUAAUACCGCAUGACAUCCUGCCUUUGGACAGGCGGAGAUCAAAGCCGGGGAUCGUAAGACCUGGCGCUUAAAGAGGGGCCCGCGUCCGAUUAGCUAGUUGGUGGGGUAACGGCUCACCAAGGCGACGAUCGGUA
rnacentral:rRNA from 1 species